UACGGGGGGGGCAAGUGUUCUUCGGAAUGACUGGGCGUAAAGGGCGCGUAGGCGGCGACUCAAGUUAGAUGUGAAAGUCCUGGGCUUAACCUGGGGACUGCAUUUGAUACUGGGUUGCUUGAAUUCGGGAGAGGAUAGCGGAAUUCCCAGUGUAGAGGUGAAAUUCGUAGAUAUUGGGAAGAACACCGGUGGCGAAGGCGGCUAUCUGGACCGACAUUGACGCUGAGGCGCGAAAGCGUGGGGAGCAAACAGG
rnacentral:rRNA from 1 species